AACCAGAGCGCCGGGAACAGAACCCCUCACCACCGCCCGCCGCCCCAGCACACUCCACUCAGCGUCUCCAGGACAGGCCCAGCCUCCCUCUGCAUCACGAGGCGGCCACCUCCUCCUGGCUUCCCAGGAACCCGCCCCUGCCCAGCACGCCCUCUCCUUCAGUUCCCACGCGCUCUCCUUCUCCCACCGCUUCCCUCGUCUGUAAGUCGGUCCCUUUGACCCCAUCUUGUAAAACAAGGCCACACCCAGAGGUGGUGAUGGAUCAGCGGUCGGCAGGAGUCGGGGCUCGUGGGAACCGGUGGGCCAAGUCCAGGUCCUGCUGUGGUGGGCACGAGCCCCGGAGCCCUGGCUUAGUAGCCACGGGUUGGUGUGGCCUACAGUGGUGACAGACACACUGACGCGAUGCUGAGGAGGACGUGGACUGGGGGGGGGUGAGAAGCUUCAUUUUCUGCACAUUUUUUCCAUAACCUAAAAAUAUUCUAAAAAGAUCAUCUACUAAAAAAAGCAAGACCUUUCCUGGGUGAAUUCCAUACAGACAGCACGGUAAGCCCGGUGUUCCGCCCACUCCCAGCGUCCAGUGGAGACGCGUGCGAGAUGGGCAGCCAGCACCACAUGGAAACCAGCGCUGCACCGGAAGCCCCUCUGGCAAAGCUGCGGCGUGACUGGGGUGCACAGGAGGGAAGAGGCUAGUUUGCAGCCAGCUCUUCUCUGCAGAGUGGUGUGGUCUGCAUCCGAGGGAAGGUACCCCGGAGACCCUGCCGCUGAGGACAGGCAAGGCCAUGACCAGAGGGCUGCCCACAGGAACUGAGAUAGCAAAUGUGUAUUGUUUUGAGCCAGUAAGCUGGUGGUGAUUUGUCACACUGCAACAGUUAGCUAUUGCUACAAAUAAUGAAAAGAAAUUUGUAACUAAAAUGCACUUCUGCCCAACACGGUGAUACAUGCCUAUAAUCUUAGCAACUCAGGAGGCUGAGGCAGGAGGAUCACGAGUUAGAGGCCAGCCUCAGUAAUUUAGUGAGUCCUUCAGCUUAGUGAGACCCUGUCUCAAAAUUAAAAAAUAAAUAAAUAAAUAAAACAACUGAGAUGUAGGUUGUUCAGAGGUAUGGUCCCCUGGGUUCAUCCCCUGUGCCAAUUAAUUUAUCAAUUGAUUAAUUAAUUUGAUUAAAAUAACACACUUGCACCCAUGAUCCCUCCUUCCUUGCAGACCACCCCCCCCAAGGGAGUUCUCCACAGACUCAUCUAAGGAGCUUCCUGGAGGCCGUGGCCCAUCACGAAACGGCCCCAGAGGGUCAGAGCCUGCUCCGAGCUCCUCCCUGUCAGAGUCACAGGAAGCGCUGAGGCACAAGAGCACCCUGGCUGUCCUUCCUACCAACUUUUUGAGGUGACCGUCUCCCAGAGCCCUGAGGCCAGUGGAUGGCCCCAAGGCUGAGGACCUCAGAGACCUGGGGAUCCAGCACCCAGCCAGCUCCUCCAGGUGGACAGAGCACCCCGGCCGCGGACUAGAGCGGGUCACCAGGAACGGCCCAGAGAGGACCUAGCGGCCUCAGGAGCCAGGAGGUCUCCGCACAGGACCUGGGCUGGGCCACCCGGAGCCAGAGGGAGGGGCUGCAGCAGCCAUGUGUCCCUCUCCACGGUCCUCUCACUCCCCUGCCCCCGGGGACAGAGUGGUCACUCCUCCGAGCUGUGCACUGCUGAAGAGGGUGCAGGUGGAGCCCUCUGGAUGGGAGGGGGCGUGGGGACGAGAACACAGGAAGGAAGGCGGCCACUCAGCUCAGCAGAUGGACGCGGGUCUGUGUGCCCGCCGGGAUGGUGGGGGCGACAGGGACGGGAAACUUGAGCUCGUUUUUAAAAGAUCUUAGGGUGGAAAUAAAUGAUCUUUUAAUUAAAUUUCUACUAAAUUUUAACUUGAA